rnacentral:tRNA from 1 species
GGAGCCAUAGCUCAAUUGGUUAGAGCCUCCGACCCAUAAUCGGAUGGUUGCAGGUUCAAGUCCUGCUAGCUCCACCA